UUUUAUAUAAAUUUUGUACGAUUUUUCUGUAUUGACGGAUAAAAGUUAAUUUAAGAUUCAUAUGUCAUAUAAGCAUCAUCUCAUCUCAACUCUAUAAAACCAGAGGAUCAUCAAGAACUCAAAAAAUAAUAUUUGACUUUUGAACGCCAAACUUUUAAGCAUUAUCUUGUCUGGAUCCUGAAACACUAAAUUUGACUUUUAUGCAUCAAAUAGUUUGAACAUCACUAUCUGAUACUUUAAAUAUCAUAACUCACUUCUAAAUAUUAUUUUCAUUAGGAGCUUGAAAGACCAUGAUUGACUCGUGAGGUUAUACAACCUGAAGCUUAUAAGAUUAUAACUAACUUCUAAACAUCAUCUUGUUUGGAGCUUGAAAAAACAUAAUAGGCUUAUGUGCAUCAUCUAAAAUACCAUAAUUGAGUUUCAAGCAUCAUUUCCGUUUGGAGUUUAAAAGAAUAUAACUGGCUAGUAAGUAUCAUCUUGUUUGAAGUUUGAAAGACCAUAACUAAGUUUCGAUAAUCAUCCCGUCUAAGGCUUAAAAAGAUUAAUACGAGAUUCAAAUUAUAUCAUAUAAAUUUAUUUAGUAUCUCAAUUGGUAAAUUUUCAUAAAAAAUCAAUGUGUAAUCCAACUUUUACAAAUAAAAAAAUUGUGCAAAAUAUCUUAUUUUAUGACAAAAUUUAAAUGAAGAAUUAUUUAUUUAAUCACAAGUAUUUGUUUUUAAAAAUAAAAUUAAAUAAUUUUUUAUUUAACCAAAUAAAAUUGAUC
rnacentral:lncRNA from 1 species